rnacentral:rRNA from 1 species
UGGGGAAUAUUGGACAAUGGGCGCAAGCCUGAUCCAGCCAUGCCGCGUGAGUGAUGAAGGCCCUAGGGUUGUAAAGCUCUUUCACCGGUGAAGAUAAUGACGGUAACCGGAGAAGAAGCCCCGGCUAACUUCGUGCCAGCAGCCGCGGUAAUACGAAGGGGGCUAGCGUUGUUCGGAUUUACUGGGCGUAAAGCGCACGUAGGCGGACUAUUAAGUCAGGGGUGAAAUCCCGGGGCUCAAACCCGGAACUGCCUUUGAUACUGGGAGUCUUGAGUUCGAGAGAGGUGAGUGGAAUUCCGAGUGUAGAGGUGAAAUUCGUAGAUAUUCGGAGGAACACCAGUGGCGAAGGCGACUUUCUGGUCUGUAACUGACGCUGAUGUGCGAAAGCGUGGGGAUCAAACAGG